rnacentral:rRNA from 1 species
AGCAGCCGCGGUAAUUCCAGCUCCAAUAGCGUAUAUUAAAGUUGUUGCAGUUAAAAAGCUCGUAGUUGAAUUUCGGGGUCAGUGGAUUGGUCGUGCCACUGGUAUGUACUGGUCUUACUGGCUCCUCCUUCCUGAUGAACCGUUAUGCCAUUAAUUUGGUGUUGCGGGGAGACUGGACUGUUACUUUGAAAAAAUUAGAGUGUUUAAAGCAGGCUAACGCUUGAAUACAUUAGCAUGGAAUAAUGAAAUAGGACGUUCGAUCUUAUUUUGUUGGUUUCUAGGAUUGACGUAAUGAUUAAUAGGGAUAGUUGGGGGCAUUAGUAUUCAAUUGUCAGAGGUGAAAUUCUUGGAUUAG